UUGAACCGAGGCCACUGGAAGAGAACCCAGGAGUAGCAUAUCCUCCUCACUUACUACAGAUCCAGUGGUAGGGUGGUGACACAAUGAGAGUUCCAGUAUAUUCUGAAUAGCGAACACCAAGUUAGAGAUCAGUGGAUACUACAGGACAAAAAAAGAGAAUGAACGUGGAGACUCAGGAAGGGAAGAGGGAACAGUGGAGCUCUAAAACAGAGUUCCUCCUCACAGUUUGUGGUAACGUGGUCGGCCUGGGAAAUGUAUGGAGGUUCCCCUAUCUCUGCUAUAAGAACGGUGGAGGUGCCUUCCUUGUGCCCUACCUGCUGUACGUUGGGCUAUGUGGUCUUCCUCUGUUCCUUCUCGAGACAUCAAUUGGUCAGUACACCCAACAGGGCAUUGUCACAUGCUGGAGGAGCUUAUGUCCGCUUGCUGAAGGUGUUGGCAGGGCAGAGCUUCUCAUCCUGAUCUAUGACUCUAUCAUUUACCUCGUGAUCCUGGCCUGGACUCUCUUCUACCUGGUGUUCUCUUUCAGUUCUCAGCUACCCUGGGCCAGCUGUGGUAACACCUGGAACACAGAUCAAUGUGUGGAUUUCUCUUCACUAAACCAUACUGCCAACUGUACCUCCAAAAUCACCACUACUUCUGCUGCCACUGAGUUCUGGGAGCGUCGUGUGUUGGCUAUCUCUGGAGGCAUUGAAGAGGUGGGCAGUGUAAGAUGGGAGCUGAUGCUCUGUCUCCUCGCCUGUUGGGCUGUCUGCUACUUCUGUAUCUGGAAAGGAAUCAGGUACUCAGGAAAGGUGGUAUAUUUCACUGCCACAUUUCCCUAUCUGAUGCUCUUGGUGUUGCUGGUGAGAGGGGUGACUUUACCUGGAGCUUGGGAGGGGAUUCAGUUUUACCUGUAUCCAGACCCAGUCCGCCUUGCAGACCCCCAAGUCUGGAUGGAAGCAGGAACGCAGGUGUUCUUCUCCUACUGUAUUGGACGGGGAAGUCAAACUGUUUUGGGAAGCUUCAACAAAUACAACAAUAACUGCUACAUGGACAGCUUUUGGCUGUGUCUGCUGAAUGGUUGUACCAGUUUUGUGGCUGGAUUUGCAGUCUUCUCGGUGCUGGGAUUCAUGGCACAGAAACAGGGUGUUUCUGUCGCGAUGGUGGCAGAGUCCGGUCCUGGUUUGGCAUUCAUCGCCUUCCCCCAGGCAGCAGCCAUGAUGCCCUUGCCACAGCUCUGGACGGUCUGCUUCUUCAUUAUGCUUCUUCUGCUGGGAAUUGACACACAGUUUGUCAUAAUGGAGGGAGUGAUAACAUCUUUCACAGACUUAUUUCCUGUUACACUGCGAAGGCCCAGAUAUCGAGAGGGCUUUGUGCUCCUCUUCUGUCUCUCCUGCUUCCUUAUACAGCUGACUAUGAUCACAGAGGGUGGGAUCUUUGUGUUCCAGCUCAUUGAUUACUACGGCUGCAGCGGAGCGUGUGUUCUCUUUGUGGCUGUGUUUGAGUCACUGGCAGUGGGAUGGAUCUUUGGGGCAGAUCACAUGGAGGAUGCCAUUAAGGACAUGACUGCACAGAGACCGUGUGUCCUCUUCAGACUGUGCUGGCGUUACUUCACCCCACUUGUGUCUCUGAGUUCCUUUAUUUUACACAUGGUGGACUAUAAGCCUCUCAAGUUUAACCGCUGGUACAUGUACCCGGACUGGGCUUACGCACUGGGCUGGGCCAUGGCCCUCUCCUCCAUCCUCCUGGUGCCACUGUGGGGGAUUGGCAAGAUCUGCGUUGGUACAGGCAGCCUCAGACAGAACUGGUUAGGGAAUGAAAGAGUGAAGUUGGCCCAGAGUAAAGCUGUCUCUCAACACAAAACUAAGCUCUACAAACGUAAUGUGUCAGCUUACAACCUGUUUAUGAGGGACCACCUUAAAGCUAAAGGAGUUAUGGCAGGUACACAGGGCAAAUGGCAGGCAUUACCACCUGCCACAAAAGCCCAUUACAGUGAGGAGGCAGACAAGCUACGGUCAGGAGUUGAAGGGGAACCUGAAGGCAUUAAAAAUGAAGCAGAUGGACAGGGCAGAGUUCCAUGUAUGACUGUGGCUGCCAAGCAGGUGGUCAUUGAAGUAGAGGGCAUGCCAGCUAGGAUAGAGUUGAAAAAGCCCUCCCACUAUGGCAUGGACCAACUAUCUUCCAUUUUGGAGGCAGGCCGUGGCAUCAAGUUCACAAUAACUAGGGGUGGUGCUGGGCCUAGAGCUGGAGAUGGGAGUGGAGCUGGGCCUUGAGAUGGGAGUGGAGAUAGUGAUGGGCCUGGAGCUGGAACAGUGCCUGUAGUUGGUGCUGGGCCUGGGCCUUUAACUGGAGGUUGGGCUGAGGCUGGAGCUGAAGGUUAGACUGCACCAGGACCUGUGUCUAAUUUCCUGGAGACAUCCUUGCAGUUGCAAUGAACUCCAUUAUUACUUAGCCACAAUGAGUCGCUGCCUCUCCUUGUUCGGGCGGCGUUCGACGUUCGGCAUCACCGGUCUUCUAGCCAUCGUCGAGCCACUUUUCAUUUUCCAUUUGUUUCAUCUUG